GAUGAAGAACGUAGCGAAAUGCGAUAAGUAAUGUGAAUUGCAGAAUUCAGUGAAUCAUCGAGUCUUUGAACGCUCAUUGCGUCCCCUGGUAUUCCGGGGGGCAUGCCUGUCCGAGCGUCAUUGCUGCCCUCAAGCACGGCUUGUGUGUUGGGCCUCCGUCCUCCUCCCGGGGGACGGGCCCGAAAGGCAGCGGCGGCACCGCGUCCGGUCCUCGAGCGUAUGGGGCUUCGUCACCCGCUUUUGUAGGCCCGGCCGGCGCUUGCCGACACAUCAAUCUUUUUUCCAGGUUGACCUCGGAUCAGGUAGGGAUACCCGCUGAACUUAAGCAUAUCAAUAAGCGGAGGA
rnacentral:misc_RNA from 1 species